rnacentral:misc_RNA from 1 species
AAUUCUCAACUGCCUUUUAGCAUUUAUGUUAAGGGUGAGGUUGGAGUUGGAGGAUAAUUGCUGGCGCAACUGAGGUUGCUUGUUGGCUCCUCUUGAAUGGAUGAGCUUUUCUGAUGGGAUCCAUAGCUCAGUAACACUAAUGUGAUAAUUAUCUACGUUAGAUGUGAAGAGGCUCCUACAGAAAAGGUGUAUCUUGGGGAUAACAAACCCUUGACUUUGACAA